rnacentral:rRNA from 1 species
UACGAAGGGGGCUAGCGUUGCUCGGAUUGACUGGGCGUAAAGGGCGCGUAGGCGGUUAGUAGAGUCAGGCGUGAAAUUCCUGGGCUCAACCUGGGGGCUGCGUUUGAUACGUAUUGUCUGGAGUUCGGAAGAGGGUCGUGGAAUUCCCAGUGUAGAGGUGAAAUUCGUAGAUAUUGGGAAGAACACCGGUGGCGAAGGCGGCUAUCUGGACCGACAUUGACGCUGAUGCGCGAAAGCGUGGGGAGCAAACAGG